UCACCUGUUUAUCAAAAACAUAGCCNUUAGACAUUAUUAUAUGGUUAGACCUGCCCAAUGUAAAUUUAUCAAUGGCCGCGGUACCCUGACCGUGCUAAGGUAGCGUAAUCAGUUGGUCUUUAAAUGAGGCCAGGAAUGAAUGGAAAAACCGGGUUUAGCUGUCUCCUAAUUAGUUUAUUGAAUUUACUUUUUAAGUGAAAAAGCUUAAAUAAAAAAAAGGGACGAGAAGACCCUUAGAAUUUUUUUUAAAAGAAUUAAUAUUUUCUGUAAUUUUAUUGGGGCGAUAAAGAAAUAAUUAAAACUUUCUUUUUAAAUAUGCCGAUUAUAUUAAGUAAGAAUAAAUUACCUAAGGGAUAACAGCAUAAUUCUAAAAUUGGGUUUGUGACCUCGAUGUUGGACUAGGAAACUAUUGGGCUAGCCGCUCAGUAUGUUAGGUUCUGUUCGAACUUUAAUUCCU
rnacentral:rRNA from 1 species